GUAUAUGUAGCGCAAUUGGUAAGAGCAGGAGACUAGGAUCUCAAGGUUCCGGGUUCGAGUCCCGGCAUAUGCU
rnacentral:tRNA from 1 species